ACAUGUCAAGUGAUGUGGCAAUCCAUGCCAAAUAAAUGAGCCAAUGAAAUCAUAUCAUGUUUCAAGUGACGUGGCAAUCCAAGGCAAAUAAAUGAGCCAAUGGAAUCAUGCCAUAUGUCAGGUGAUGCGACAAUCCAAGCCAAAUAAAUGAGCCAAUUAAAUCAUGACAAAUGUCUGGAUGAUAUUGGUCAAUUCAAACGAACCAAUCAAAUCACCGAGCCAUACCACUCCCUGCAACUAAAAAUAGAGGUCUUCAUAAAGCUAGAAAACACCAAAAGUGAUAACAAGAAGCAAGCAGAGAUCUCGUGGAUCAAACACCGCAGAUUUCUCUACAAGCUACAAGUUCAAGCACUCAAGCUACAAGUUCAAGUUUAAGUUCAAGAACGAAGCCAAUCAAAUACCAAGGCUUUCAAGAUCAAAUUACUUAUUCGUGAUCAAAUCAAAAUUCAAGUUCAAGGAGGAGAUUCGAGAUAGCGUUACAAGCCCUUGAAUCAAAUCAAAGUCAAGCUCAUUAAGAUACUUUACAUUCUUGAAUAAUCAGACGAAUACCAUAGAGAUUGUGACACUUUCAUUUAUUGAAAUCAAAUACU
rnacentral:lncRNA from 1 species